UCAGAGAGGUAAACUGCCCAAACUGCUUGUUUCAAUUCAGGCUUUGACUCAAAACCCUAUUGACACCAUUAUAGCUGUCAACAUUUGAUACACAAUACACAAAUAUAUUUUAGCAGAUGGAGAGGAAUGGAAAUAAAGCCAAUAUGCCGUUGAGGCUCGGUUCAGAAUUACUGGGAGGAAGAGAACUGGAAGAGGAGGGGUGCCAAGAAGGAAGUAGAGCAGAAACAGGGAAAGGAAGAUAGGAAGGGAGGAAAAAUCACUGCCGCCCAGUUCUGCUGAAUCAAGCACUGAGGAGUAAAAGAAAAAUAAACAAAGCUUUUCUUGCUGCAGCAAACGAUUAAGCCUUGCUUUUGCUCUUUGUAUGAAGCUCCCUCUGAGAUUAGCAAGUGUAGACAAAAGGCGAUGUGUUUGCUUAGAUUCACACCACAGCCCCUUCUUCACUGCUGCAUGGAGUUUGUUCUCCUCCACAGGAUGAACGGGAUGUCCCUAAUGUCACCAACAGCUCAGAUAAAACAGCCUGCUAACCAGCCAUUUUGAAUUAAUAAGAGUAAUCCACAUUAUAAAUCCAAUAGCUCUAUGGAAGUUACAAAAUGGCACUAAAGUUUUGAUAGGGUUUUGUUGUAACUAAAAAUUAUGGUCCUAGAUUAAACAGAUGUGUGAUGCCACCAUUCAUCACUCUGUGAAGGAAUGAGUACCUUUUUAAAAAAACUCAGUUACACAGCAGAAACACAUAUAGUAGGGACAAACUGACAGCAAAAUAGUCCUUCCAGCCUGCAAAUGGAAACCAUAUCUCUAGAAUCUAAUAGAAUGACAACUGGAUUUCUAGAGUCUGAUAAAAAGAUAUCGGAAGCCAAGGAGGAGAGUAGAUGUGUGAGCAAAAGGUAAACUUCAGAUUUUGCAGUUGAGGGACCAGGAUACCAAGAACUUACAGUUCAACAUGUGUAAAACAGGCCCAUAAUGUGAUUUUCAGUACCCCUAGACAUUUUCUAAAGAAGAACCUCUACGAAUUCUCUACCUAUCUUCUGUUCCUACAGUAUUUAUGAACUGAACAUGCGCACUUCUUUUCUUAGACAAAGGUGAUUUUUCACAAAUUGUCUGCAUUUAAAGGACAAGUAUAUCAAUUCACAACAUUCACUAUUCUUGUGCUUUUCUUUCUUUCUCCAAGUACAAAAGAAGAAUCAAAAUUUAAUAUUCAACAGUCAACUUUUUUAGGGGAUCCUUUUUCAUGACAUCUUUUAUGUUUCAGAGCUUUGGUAGCUCCAUUUUUAUAGCGCAAACUGGUUUGCCUACUUUUGGUCUCAGAUUCCUGUGCACAAGCAUAAGUCUGACAAACUUAAUUUGUGUUAAGAAAUAAUUUUAUGUUGUCAUAGAAACCUGUGCAAGAUGAUCCAGGCAUGAGCAAAAAUGUAACAAAGGUACACUGACUGGUGCUUCUGCCAAUGAAAUUCCCCUUGUUUGUGUCCCACUAGUAAUUUCCCCACAUCCUAUGGCAAAAAGGGCAAAAGGAUCUCAUCUUCACAGAAUCACAGAAUCACAGAAUCAUAAGGGUUGGAAGGGACCUCCAGAGAUCAUCGAGUCCAACCUCCCUCCCAGAGCAGGUUCCCUACAGCAGGUCACACAAGUAGGCAUCCAGGCAGGUCUUGAACAUCUCCAGAGAAGGAGACUCCACCACCUCCCUGGGCAGCCAACCUCCCUGGCCAUCUCAUCUUGUCUGCUGAGAGGAACAAUUUGCCUGAAGAGUGACUGCAGUGCCUUAAGGAGGCCACACUUCCCUGUCCAAAAGAGCGUUUGUAGCCAGUACAGUUAUGCCAUGGGGAGAAAAUUAAUGUUUUCUUUCAAAAAAGAAACAAAACUGCAAUAGAAAUCCCCAAAACUAAUUGCAGAGACCUCCAUGAUACCACAGAAAGAAGAGAAUGCCUUGCUUCCAUUAUGCCAGGGGUCUGCUUCCAUCAGCAGGAGUGAAUUAUGCCCACAUCUUAAUGUUUGCACAGCUCUUGUCAUCCAGAAACAAGUUUUAUUUCCAUCAGAGAAUACAUCUAAUGAAUGGAACAGUAACAGGGAGAAAAAGAAUCAAUGAACAUUGGUCAUCAUGACAAGUUUGUGUCCAGUUGCUUCACCCAGCAUGCCUUGCCAUCCUAAUGACUCCCUACCUGAUAUCAAUGGACACUUUUGGAAAUUUCUGGGCAACGAGAGCACCGAAACUGUGCUGCAACACCUGCACUCAACCUCGGCCAUCAGAGACAUUUACAGCCAAGACUUGCGACAGCAGUGAAUACCUCUUAUCCUUGCCACUGCUGCCAUCAGACUGACUCAACUAGAUUCUUUCCCAGGGGAAAUCUCGGUACAUCUGCUAGCGCUGAUUUGGCUUUCAAAAGGCUUUCAGCUAAAAGGUUAUUGCUGUGGCUCCAUGGCCUUUCAAAGGGCAAAAGGGCAAAAAUAUUACUGCAAAAAAGUCAGAAAAUCUGUAACAUUUUGUGCAGACUUGGGAGUCCCUCUAAGCAAUGACUGGAAGAAGAGCAAAAGGAUUCCCGUCCACAGUGCUCCUCUGGUGCAAUUAGUACUGGAAACACUCCAAAAAGACAAGGACAUGGAUACAUUACAGCUUCUUUUUGCCCCUAAUGCUAAUUAGUUGCAAUAUGUCAAUAAUUAGAACAGAGUUUAGUGAACAAAUAUUACCUCUUUUUCUGAUGCUGUAUAGUCCAGAAAUUUUAUUUUUCCCUUAUUAUUUAUCAUUUGAAAAUAUUUCCCAAUAAUGUCUCCAAGACCUUUUUGAUUUGAAGCUUGCUCACGUGCCUUUUGCAAGUGUUAGAGACAGAGACAGGUCUGGCAUCGCUUCUGAUUCUUGAUACGGUGAAAGCAGAUUUUAGUGCUGGGUGUGCCACUGAAUUCCAAACUGAUAUUUUCCAGCGUUCUCUGUAAAAUGCAUUUUUGUGGGCUAUCUGUGCAGCUUUACCUUUGCUAAUAAAGAAAAAGAAAGUCAGAACACAAGGGACAGGAAGACAGCUGAAGUAUACUAGUGUAAUGAUUUAUGCAGAUAUUGGUAGGCAUUUUUGACAGGAGUCUAGUUACAAGAAUCUGAAUAGAAAGCCUGAUUAUUUCCUUCUUUUUUCAAGAAAAAGGUGAAUAGGGGAUGGAAAAUGAACAUAAUUUAAUUACUGUUGUUAUUAUUGCUGUUAGAUUGUAACUGCCUAUCUGCCACUUCCCCCCUAUGUGCAUAUAUACACAUCUCUUUUUAUGUUCACUGCCUGUCCAUAGCUUCUCUUAUAUAUGCAUCUCGUUAUGUCUCAUUAUCACAUCUCAUUCCCAUGCUCUUUAUAGUGCAAAACAAGGUGUGUAUUUGGCUAUGAAAAUGCUGGAGGGGGUGUGUGCAUUUUGCAUGGGAGAUGCUGCAUUAUCAUGUCAAUCAUUUCUCCUUCUCUUUCUUAGGCUUUGCAGAUGAAUCCUGGAUGUGCCCCAGCUGGAAUUCCGCUGGCACUGGAGAAGCUCAGAUUUAGACACCACAUUCUCAGCCCAGGUCCACUGGCUGUGAUUCAUAUCCUGUUAUCAAACAGGGACCCAACGCUUUCUUUCCAACAUGCUGAAAAUCUGGUUUAGAGAUAAGCACAUUAUGUGGGUUGCUAGGAAAGGAUUGUCUUUGCCAGUUGAACCUCUACUCUGAGAUCUCUUUUUUUCCUUUCCCCAUAGGAAAGGCUGCUGCCUAUUGUCCAGUCCAGCUACUGGAAAAUGGGUAGAGGGGGACCACAGGGAUCUAGCUCAUUAUUAUGCACCCACUGAUGCUGGCUGGGCAUGCAGCUUCUACAUGUCCCCCAGGCUCUUGCAGCAGCCUGUGCUCCAUCAGUGUGGAUACGCUCAACUUUACCAUACAAAUGAAGGGACACCCCAGCCUUGCAGCUGCAAGGAGGGGCAGUAUCUUUAAAAAGCAGGUGUAAGCACAGCACAAAAAAACAAUUUCAGGGAGCUUAUGCACCAGUUAAAAUUCAUACUGGUCAGGCUGGAUAACACAUAUCACCAUACACUAAAAAGAAUUCAUUCAGGGCAAGUCAUUUACAUCGAUACAUUGCCUGGAGCACGACUGACGUAUUUGCAGAGUAGUGUAUCAGCAAGAAGCUGGGUUGUGAUGAGCAGACAGAUUACAGUGGUUGACUGAAGAUGAUCUCCCAUUUGCUUGCCCACCCGUGACUCAAAAGCCAUUGCUCUGUGGGAUGCAUACAUCAUGCUUUUAGCUGGGUUCUGUGCCCAAAUCUCUGCUUUGCCCACAUACAGGGACCAGCAUUUCCUUCACAAUGAAGUAGUCUGGGCUGCAAUCUGAAAUCUUUGUGUUGCUUACAGCACCACCGGUAAGCUAUGGAGAACCAUUCUGCCCUAUGACCGUUUUGAGUGAGGAGAGCACUUUGGCCCUCUGGUUCACUGGAAAAGGAGCAUGGAGCAGCUGGGAUUAGUAUAGUGCUGAGGUCUGUGGGAUGUACUGAUAGCCACACAUAUACAUAUACAUAUAUUGUACAAACAGACUUCAGAAUUACUGCCUGCUGGGCAGAACAAGAGGAGCUAACCACCUCUAGAUCCUCUUUGAUUUGUGGCAACAAACAACCCCACUUUUCUUUGAAAAUCAGCAUAAGGUUAUAUUGUGUACAUGAGUUGUUUUCUAUCCCCUCGGUUCUCUCGGCGUCUGAGAUACGUUGCACCUGCUGGAAGAUGUAGAAUACAUCUCAGCCUCACAAUAACAACUGUGCUUUGAGAACUGUCCUUAACCAGCAGAACUGGGAGGCUGGCAUAUGGAAGAUAUGGAAGAUAUGGAAGAAGAGGACGGGGAAAAGAUCUUCUGCUCUGUGUGAGAACCAAGAAUUUGGAAUAUAUUUCAGCAAACAUUAACCAAUUGACCUUCCUGCUGGAUAUGUGCUGGGCUGUGGCCUCAUUGAGAGAUUCCAAAUUAAUCACACGCCUCUUCAAAAGGUGUCUGAGGGAGGUUUCUCUGCAGAGACUAUUGAUGUGCUUCCAGCUCUCUUGGACUCUCUGGAUGAUAAAGAGGUAGCGAGCAGAAGGGGAUGAACUGAAUCAACAAGAGACAAAGUGAAUUACAAGUUGCCCAAACAAUCAGGCCAGAUAGCUGGAAAUCAAGGGCAAGCUUCCCUCUGACCUGUGCUGCUUCUCUCCAAGCACUGCUUCUUCUUUCCAGCUUCUUCUGGGAAGAAAUUCUUCAUCCAGUUUGAGUAAGCUGCUCACAGCCAAAGCCUGAAGAAUAAGAGAGGAACAUGCAUGCGGUGGUGGAUGAAACAUCUCCCUGCUCGUGUCCCCAGGCCGGCAGCUGAGGGGUUACAGGCUGGCAGCAGCUUGGCUUCACUCGAAUUUGUUGAGCUCUCCACACCCCUCCAACAGCUCCAGGCUCUUGGAGUUGGGAUUAUAGCCAUCACUGACUAGUAUCAUACUGAAAAAGCACUGCUUUUUAUAUACUCUGCAACGUCCCUGAAAGCUUAGGAACUAUUGUCAGCUGAAUGUAUUUAUAUUAAUGUCCAAUCGCUGCACCAAAUAUUCUCUGUAAAGUCACCUUUCACAUGUUAAUGUGCUUUGGGUCAUCCUGAAAGCAAGAAGGGGAAGGUUGGACAAGGACAUGAUAUGGCGACACCAACAUUGAAGUGUUCUAAUUCAAUUUUAUUACCACACAUUUAGCAAUUUUUGUGCAGGUUUUUAAAUUUCAUCAGGCCAUCUUCCUAAAUUCCUGCAUUCCUUUCCUUCAUUUUCUUUCCCUUUCCCCUUUUCCUUUCCCUUCUUCUGUUCCUUUUCCUUCUUCUUCUCUUUCUCUGUUCUUUCUCCCUUGUCCAUCUCCUUCUCCCUCUCAGUCUCCUUUUUGUUUUCCCUUUGUUCUCACUAUUUCUCCCCUUCAUCUUAGUCUAGUUUACAUUUUUUAUUUUUACUAUUCUAUCACUUUUUAUUUCAAGAGGAUACACAACACGUGAUACAGUUUUGCAUGCUUUUACUCCUAAUGAUAUACACAGGCCAAGUUUUGCACCCUACAAAGUUGGGCGUAUCGUUCUGGCAUAAUUCCACUGAUAUUAACGGAAUUUAAACUGACAUCAGACUCCAACCCUACAUUUUAAUGCUUGAUUAGCAUGGUCUCAGCUGUGAGACAAUUUGUCUUUAGACUACACUAAGCCCCCAUUAAAUCAGAAAAAGAAUGUUUCUGAGUGAGCAUGCCAAUCAUUACGGCUUAUCUAGUGAAAGAUGCCACAUGCUUUCUCCUGCUCUAUCCUUAUUUCUGACAGCUACUUAUGCUUCUCAUGGUCUAAUUGGGCCUGCCAAUCCUCCCUGCUCAUCCCAAUCUGUCCAGCCCAGAUGCACAAGUCUGAAAUGUUUUUAAAAUCUGCAUAUGGUUGCUGAUUACAAGAAAUGGGAAAAAAAUACAGCCUAGAUGUUGUGAUACGUUUCCUUCUUUGGGAUUCUAUUUGUGCUCAAGACAAAUAUAAGAACUGCAAAAAUUAAAAGAAGAAAUUAAAAUUAAAAUUAAAAGAAGAAAAUGCAUCUUAAUACUUGGGCUGUCUGGCUCUGGGGGUGGGAAGGGUACUGCCGGCAGAUGAAGGCCAUAUUUCCUCCUGAGGCUUGCACUCACAAAACAGCCAGGGCUAAACCCUCCCAUUUGUUGCUUGCUGUGCUGUGAAAGAGGAGGUGAGAGGUAUCUCAGGUAGCACCAAGUGGCAGCAGAUACUGCUUGCAAUGUGCUGCAGAGCCCAGCGCACAGCUUCUGGAGGAUCUCAUCAGGAGUGCCUGGCAGGUCAGGACCCGCUCUGUCUUCAUGCAGAGAAACAAGAAGUGCCCUGUUCUUGGGAAGCCACUUGAUGAACAACAGGAUUCCCUCUGUGGAGCACACCUCUGCCAGCUGCUGCGGAACCUUAUUGCUGCAGCUUGCCAGGAGCACGCUGGCAUUUGGGCUGCAGUGUCCCAGCGAGGCUGGCAGAGCUCACACGUCCCCCUGGGACAGGAGCCAAAGCUUGGGAUUCAAUGGGUAAAAAAGCCCAUUGAUCUCAGAGCUUUGGGAUCUGUCCUUUUCCUCUUCUCCUUUGAGGAUUUAUCCAUUGCUUACAUGCAUAUAUCACUUCUGAAGCAUAUGGAGCACUUGGUUUUAAUCUCAAAUUUCCCUGGUGACGGGAGGGGAAGUGUGCUGGCAGCUGGCACUGAAAAAUACUCAUUAUUCUGUACACUACUAUCGCUUUUUACUACCCCAAGAAAGAUAAAAAUUGCAAUAAAAAUGCACAGUUUUUUUUUUUUAAUCAGCCUUUGCCUGCCCUUAAAGGCACAGUAAAAUAUCACAACGUGCAAUUUUUAUGUGUGUAUGGAAAAAUGAUGAGAAAGUAUCAAAAUGGGAAGUGAAAGAACAACUAAAAGACACUGUUAAGUGAACGAUCCUUUUUAGAAAAAGCUCAGAAGGAGGGAUUCUGAUUUAGCAGGGGGCUGGAUUCUCUUUUUGAACUGGAAGGUAAAAACAUCUUAGAUUUUCAUUCCACUCCAACACCUUUUUGCUUCUUUGUUUCCACCAUGGCUAGUGCAAUUUUUUCAGCACUAGAUGUCAGUGUGGACAUACGAUACCAGCCUGCUUUGCAUUUUUCCAUUCACAAGAGAGGAAGUAAUGACAUUCAGAGUGAAACUAAGCCUCCCCAGCCUCAUGAUGUGCUUCCUACAAAACAGGUCUCUUCUUUCCCAUCUGACCUCCACAAGGAAGCCGUACAAUCUCAUACUGUCCUUGUUUUGGUUUUGUGUGGCUGCAAAAAGGCCCUCCUCAUUUUGUGAUCACAUCACAAUGGGUUAAAGAGGACUUUGUGACUCCAGGGGAAAAGCUUUGUUUAGGAAGGAAUAGUGACAACUAAAAUGUUCUGAAUGAUCCUGAUAAAUUGUGACCUUCCUAAGGAGGAGAUAUCCAGGUGCUCUACACGGUUAGCUAACCCUGUAACCACUGCACUCAUCCCAAAGAGAACCUACCGUGAGGCUGUCUGUGCAUUCCCAUCACCUAGAAGAAUGUUUUAUCAUCUAGAAAUGGCUUGUUACAUCAGACUGUUACAAGAACUAACUUUAACUGUUCCAGUUCUAACUUGAUCCUGACAUUUUCUAAUUAGUGAACUGAAACCAGCUAAGAGCAGAGAAGCCUACCAGGAAGUUUGUGCUGGGCUUCCGAAGUGGUAAAGGGUGCUUUUACUUUCUACUAUUGUUUAUGGAACAUUUUGUUUCUUCAAAAAUUGUUAAAUUUGGACCCUUGAAUCCAAAUCAUGAAUGUCCCCAUGCUUUUACUGGAGGGUCUCCCUCACUCUGUAAGCAGCAAUUGAAGACAAGGACUCGACUUCUCCUGCUUCUGGGAAAGUACAUAUCAGCAACAGAGAGGAAGAAGUGGCUUCACAAUUCCCUUCGUUCUUCUCUUACUUUCACAGGUUCUGUCUUCUGCCAAGUGGAUCAGAGCCAGCACAACAGAUGGAGUCUUUUACACCACCCUCGUGCCUGCUUUACACCAGGCAUGGUGCGCAGCAGCCCAGGCAGAAAUGCUUCUGGCAGAGCACGGGAAGUGGAGCCCUCUGACAUUCCUCCUGACUCAGUUCAGUUGCAGCCCUGAUCUAGGGCUUCAGAAAAGUCCAGUUACAUGCUUCUGCUGUCUUCCUUACGCACUCCUUAAUAAAGCAUUACUCUGAUACAUAUACUAGUAAACCUUGCUUUUAAUAUACCUCGAAGUCUUUACUGUCCCUGUGACCUCAGUGCAAGGAGUCACCAAAAUGCAUGCAGGACUGCCGAAGCAGCUGGGCUCAAAAGCCCUUUGAGGAGCUACCUGGUAUGUUCUUGUUUUUCAUUGUUAGGCUUAUCAGCAGCAGGUUGUAAAUAGAAGGAUACGAAAGAUUAAAAGAACAAUACUUCUCUGAUUUAAAACUAUCAAUUGAAAAUACUAUCUGUGCAAAAAUGAGGAAAAAAGAUUUUUUUUCUCCUGGAUUCUGAAAGAUUAAGGUAAUAUUUGGCAGACAAUACAGAACCUGAAAGAAUACAAAUGGUAUUCGGCAAAUCUAAUGUCACAUGGCUCUACUGCCUGCUCUCAUUGCUACAUAUUUUGUUUUGUUAAUGUUUCUGUAAUUUCCAUUUACUCACCUCUGUCUGUAGAUGCCUACCAUUCAAGCAAUUAGCACUGCCAGUGAAAGAUGUAUCCUGUAAAAAAGCUUGUCGGCCAUCAGCCUCUGAAGACUGAUUUACCUGUGUAAUAUCCACAAUGUCAGGACUCAGAGUGCUUUCUUUAUUAGCCAUUAUGAAUUGUUCAGACAGAGCUUUCUGUAAAGCCAAAUGCUUCUCUAGGUGCAGAAGGGAUUCAUGGUCUGGCACUCUGAACUGCAAGACGAGGCAAUGUGAUUCAGGAAUAUACUCUGAAAGACGCCUAUUAUUUCCCUCUGCAGAAAUAAAGAGGACUGAAGCCAUCAACAGUCCUCCCCCAACUCCCAAAUCCACAUUCAGCUGGCAUUUCUGGGCACUGAUAUACGAGAGCUGAAAACAAGAGAGAGUAAACAUACUUCCCAUCUGUUAGUUUGUCCUCCACCCCCUCUCCUUAGAAAUCGCAGAAACAGAAGAAUCAGCUGGAUGGAACCUUUACAGGUCAACUUAUCCACCCCCACAUUCCCACACCCACAGAUCUGUGUAUUAACACCCAAAUAAACAUAGAUUGAUGUCA